rnacentral:lncRNA from 1 species
CUGCAGCUGCAGUAACUGGUCCUCGUACGGCAGAAUGUUGCUGCCUAGGAGCGACCCACAUCCAUCAGCUCGGUCAGGGGCUGCCACCUGGCCCUGUAGGGGGUUCUGAGAGUCCCGGUGAGCCAUGUGCGCUUCUGCCGCUUUCGACCGUACGUAGAGAUCCUCUGUUGGCGCCAUAAGCUCGACCCCAUCGGCUGUAAACAGCGUGGAUUGCCUCGCGGAGAGCGGCGCGCGUCCCCUGGCUGCUGACGCUGAUGCACCGCCACCGGACCGUCGAUUACCGGUUGACGGUGGCCAAGCUGAGUUUGGAGGUUUCGCAUCUGCCGCUUGGGCCUUGCCACUGCCGAGAGGCCCAACAAGAUUGACGGGGGCUGCUUGCUGCAAGGACCUGUCGCGCAAGGGUAUGUAGCUCGACGUAGGGAGGUUGGUGACAUGUUGACUCUCCCACAGUGACGCAGCUGCAAAGUGCAAAGGCACAGAUUGUUCUGGCGGCGCUGCGAGGAGAGCUUGCGGUAUGGAUGACGUGUUGCUGAAGUAAUGCGCCGCAGCGCUUCUGGGACUCCCGGCCGGACUCGUGACGGCAUUCUCUUGUAGGACUCCGGCCUCAUCACCAGGCUUUUCAAUGCGUCCUGCAGGCCUCCAUGGUGGUUUGACAUCAGCCUUAAGGCUGGAUCGGGUCUUGGAGUUCUGGUCGCGCAAGUCUUUUCUGAGGAUGCGUGACAAUGUGCUUGAAGGCGGGACCUCCCUUCGUGCAGCCCGGUCCCCGCGUCCAUAAUCCAUCCUGCCUGCAAUAAAUUUGCAGUUAUGUAAC